rnacentral:pre_miRNA from 1 species
GUGUGUGGAUGGUGUUCAGCACCAAGGACAGGCAUGUUUGACUGUGUGUGGAUGGUGUUCAGGACCAGGGACAGUCAUGCUUACUU